UUGGUGGUGAUUUAGACCCCCCUAGAGGAGCCUGUUCUAGAACCGAUAACCCCCGAUUAACCUCACCCUCUUUUGCUUUUUCCGCCUAUAUACCGCCGUCGUCAGCUUACCCUGUGAAGGACAAAUAGUAAGCAUAACUAGUAAAACCCAAAACGCCAGGUCGAGGUGUAGCACAUGAGAGGGGAAGAAAUGGGCUACAUUUCCUGCCCCAGGAAAUCACGAAUAAUGUGAUGAAACACACAUUAGAAGGAGGAUUUAGCAGUAAGUGGAGAAUAGAGAGCCCCACUGAAACCGGCCCUGAAGCGCGCACACACCGCCCGUUCAC
rnacentral:rRNA from 1 species